GCCGAGGUGGUGGAAUUGGUAGACACGCUGUCUUGAGGGGGCAGUGGGCAUUGCCUGUGUGGGUUCGAGUCCCGCCCUCGGCACCA
rnacentral:tRNA from 1 species